rnacentral:rRNA from 1 species
GACGAACGCUGGCGGCGUGCUUAACACAUGCAAGUCGAACGAUGAAGCCUAGCUUGCUAGGUGGAUUAGUGGUGAACGGGUGAGUAAUACGUGAGUAACCUACCUUUAACUCUGGGAUAAGCCUGGGAAACUGGGUCUAAUACCGGAUACGACCAAUCUCCGCAUGGGGUGUUGGUGGAAAGCGUUAUGUAGUGGUUAUAGAUGGGCUCACGGCCUAUCAGCUUGUUGGUGAGGUAACGGCUCACCAAGGCGACGACGGGUAGCCGGCCUGAGAGGGUGACCGGCCACACUGGGACUGAGACACGGCCCAGACUCCUACGGGAGGCAGCAGUGGGGAAUAUUGCACAAUGGGCGCAAGCCUGAUGCAGCGACGCCGCGUGAGGGAUGACGGCCUUCGGGUUGUAAACCUCUGUUAGCAGGGAAGAAGAGAAAUUGACGGUACCUGCAGAGAAAGCGCCGGCUAACUACGUG